AUUACUUUGGCAGAUUAGUGUGGUAAAUUUAGAAUUUAUUUAUGUAAAUUUUUUACAGGUAAUA
rnacentral:tRNA from 3 species